AGUGAACGCUGGCGGUAGGCCUAACGCAUGCAAGUCGAACGGCAGCACAGUAAGAGCUUGCUCUUACGGGUGGCGAGUGGCGGACGGGUGAGGAAUACAUCGGAAUCUACUUUUUCGUGGGGGAUAACGUAGGGAAACUUACGCUAAUACCGCAUACGACCUACGGGUGAAAGCAGGGGAUCUUCGGACCUUGCGCGAUUGAAUGAGCCGAUGUCGGAGUAGAUAGUUGGCGGGGUAAUGGCCCACCCAGGCGACGAUCCGUAGCUGGUGUGAGAGGAUGGUCGGCCACCCUGGAGCGUGGACACGGUCCUUAGUCCUACGGGACGCAGCAGUCGGGAAUGUGGGACAAUGGUGGCAAGCAUUGUCCAGCGGUACCACGUGUGUUGAGGAGGCGUUCGGGUUGGAAAGCCGUUUUGUUGGGAAAGAAAAGCAUCAGGUUAAGACCCCGCUGUUCUGACGGUACCCAAAAAAUAAGCACCGGCUAACUUCGUG
rnacentral:rRNA from 1 species